UACGUAGGGUGCGGGCGUUACUCGGAAUUACUGGGCGUAAAGGGCUCGUAGGCGGCCAACUAAGUCGGACGUGAAAUCCCCAGGCUCAACCUGGGAACUGCGUCCGAUACUGGAUGGCUUGAAUCCGGGAGAGGGAUGCAGAAUUCCAGGUGUAGCGGUGAAAUGCGUAGAUAUCUGGAGGAAUACCGGUGGCGAAGGCGGCAUCCUGGACCGGCAUUGACGCUGAGGAGCGAAAGCCAGGGGAGCAAACGGG
rnacentral:rRNA from 1 species